rnacentral:rRNA from 1 species
ACCGAAUAGAUACCCCGGUAGUCCACGCCCUAAACGAUGCGAACUGGAUGUUGGGUACAUUACGGUACUCAGUGUCGAAAGCUAAACGCGUUAAGUUCGCCGCCUGGGGAGUACGGUCGCAAGACUGAAACUCAAAGGAAUUGACGGGGGCCCGGCACAAGCGGUGGAGUAUGUGGUUUAAUUCGAUGCAACGCGAAGAACCUUACCUGGCCUUGACAUCUGUCGAAUCCUGCAGAGAUGCGGGAGUGCCGCAAGGAACGACAAGACAGGUGCUGCAUGGCUGUCGUCAGCUCGUGUCGUGAGAUGUUGGGUUAAAC